GAGGGUAUAGCUCAAGUCGUAGAGUGCAUGCUUAGCAUGCACGAGGCUCUGGGUUCAAUCCCCAGUACCUCCU
rfam:Camelus ferus unplaced genomic scaffold scaffold1128, whole genome shotgun sequence.